rnacentral:rRNA from 1 species
CAUCCUCCAAGGCUAAAUACUCCUGACUGACCGAUAGUGAACCAGUACCGUGAGGGAAAGGCGAAAAGAACCCCGGCGAGGGGAGUGAAAAAGAACCUGAAACCGUGUACGUACAAGCAGUGGGAGCACAGGUUUACCUGUGUGACUGCGUACCUUUUGUAUAAUGGGUCAGCGACUUAUAUUCUGUAGCAAGGUUAACCGUAUAGGGGAGCCGGAGGGAAACCGAGUCUUAAUUGGGCGUUAAGUUGCAGGGUAUAGACCCGAAACC